rnacentral:lncRNA from 1 species
CAGUUUCUGGGCUUGUGGUCUGAGGCAGAGACUGAAAGAAGAGGGAGGAGAAGAUACCAUGGGGAAAUUCAGGGACAAAGAUGGAACAGAGGGCCACCUGAUUCUUGACAGCAGCAUGAUAAGGAGAUGGCUGUGGAAAACACACCCUCUUUAGCACUGGUGCCAGGGAAACAUAUCUGUACAAAGAAGGCUGAACCUUGAUCUACCUGACAGCUGGAGAAGAGAAAUUAAGACACGAUUUAAUACAUGACUUAUAACUACCAGGGGAAAUGAUGCUUCACUAUAGAAGCAUACAGAACACUUUCCUAAACAGGGUUCUUGUAGAAAAUAACAGUGGACAAAGCAACUGAAACUGUUACCAGCACAGAGAGACCACCUGCGGAAAAGGAGACCAUUGUUGCUAGCUAUUUGUCUCACAGGGCAGUGAUAUCCAGAAUGUAUAAAGAGUCAUCUUAAAAAGCACACAGACACAGUAAAUGGACAAGUUAACUGGACAGACGAGCUUCUAAAGAUGUACAAAUUUGGCCAAUCAAUGCAUGAAAAACCUUCAACAUUUUCAGUUGUCAAGAUGAUGCUGGUCAAAGCUGCAUCGCAGGGAGUGGAGAUGGCUCGACUACACAGUGUAGGACGUUUCCAUACAGUGAUGCUUUAUUCUGCCACUAUGAGGAAAAAAAGUCACAUAAUCAGCAGAAAAUGGAUGAAACAGAAGAUCACUGCAGAAGAAGAGCAACAGUGUUAAAUCCUGGGAAUGGAAUGAAAGAGGUGCCUCGAGGGGAGAAAAAAUGGAUGACAAAGACAUUAAAAUUAUGUACUUUUCUGAAGAGAAAAACAGCAAGAAGGAUACAAACUGACAUCUCCCUUCUGGACUUAGCAACAUGGAUCCUGUCAACCUGUAAAUUGUGACGGUUCAUCUUCUGUGUCAGCUCUGCUGAUUCUAGAACCAACAUAGAAAUACACCUCUGUGUGUACGAGAAUCCAGAAACAUUUAACUGAGGACAGAGAUCUAUCCCUGAAUGUGGUAACACUAUCUCAUAGGCUAGGCUACUUCACUGAAUAAAAAGGAGAAAAGUGGCUGUACCACCGCAUAGACUGAGGUCCCAGGCUGAACAAAGAUACAAAGAGGAGGCAAAGACAACCGUUCAUCUCUCUCUACUUCCUGACAAUGGACAAAGUGCGACCAGUUGUAUCCACCCUCGUUCUAAUGCCUUUCCUGCUAGGAUGGAUUAUAUCCCAUAAACCAGAGUCAAAUUGAUCCUUCCUUUGUGACGUCAGCAAAAUCUUUUUGAGUUCCAUUGAUCACGCAAAGGAGUCUACCACCCACAGGUGCAUCUUGGGAGCUCUGUGGGAAUGGAGGAAGGCUUUCAG